rnacentral:rRNA from 1 species
AAGCGCAUACGGUGGAUGCCUUGGCAGUCAGAGGCGAUGAAAGACGUGGUAGCCUGCGAUAAGCUUUGGGGAGUCGGCAAACAGACUGUGAUCCAGAGAUCUCUGAAUGGGGGAACCCAGCCAGCACAAGCUGGUUAUCUUGUACUGAAUACAUAGGUGCAAGAGGCGAACCAGGGGAACUGAAACAUCUAAGUACCCUGAGGAAAAGAAAUCAACCGAGAUUCCCCCAGUAGCGGCGAGCGAACGGGGAGCAGCCCAGAGUCUGAAUCAGCUUGUGUGUUAGUGGAACGGUCUGGAAAGUCCGACGGUACAGGGUGAUAGUCCCGUACACCAAAAUGCACAGGUUGUGAACUCGAAGAGUAGGGCGGGACACGUGGUAUCCUGUCUGAAUAUGGGGGGACCAUCCUCCAAGGCUAAAUACUCCUGACUGACCGAUAGUGAACCAGUACCGUGAGGGAAAGGCGAAAAGAACCCCGGCGAGGGGAGUGAAAAAGAACCUGAAACCGUGUACGUACAAGCAGUGGGAGCACCUUCGGGUGUGACUGCGUACCUUUUGUAUAAUGGGUCAGCGACUUAUAUUCUGUAGCAAGGUUAACCGUAUAGGGGAGCCGCAGGGAAACCGAGUCUUAACUGGGCGUUAAGUUGCAGGGUAUAGACCCGAAACCCGGUGAUCUAGCCAUGGGCAGGUUGAAGGUUGGGUAACACUAACUGGAGGACCGAACCGACUAAUGUUGAAAAAUUAGCGGAUGACUUGUGGCUGGGGGUGAAAGGCCAAUCAAACCGGGAGAUAGCUGGUUCUCCCCGAAAGCUAUUUAGGUAGCGCCUCGUGAAUUCAUCUUCGGGGGUAGAGCACUGUUUCGGCUAGGGGGUCAUCCCGACUUACCAACCCGAUGCAAACUACGAAUACCGAAGAAUGUUAUCACGGGAGACACACGGCGGGUGCUAACGUCCGUCGUGAAGAGGGAAACAACCCAGACCGCCAGCUAAGGUCCCAAAGUCACAGUUAAGUGGGAAACGAUGUGGGAAGGCACAGACAGCCAGGAUGUUGGCUUAGAAGCAGCCAUCAUUUAAAGAAAGCGUAAUAGCUCACUGGUCGAGUCGGCCUGCGCGGAAGAUGUAACGGGGCUAAACUGUGCACCGAAGCUGCGGCAGCGACACUAUGUGUUGUUGGGUAGGGGAGCGUUCUGUAAGCCUGCGAAGGUGGCCUGUGAGGGUUGCUGGAGGUAUCAGAAGUGCGAAUGCUGACAUAAGUAACGAUAAUGCGGGUGAAAAGCCCGCACGCCGGAAGACCAAGGGUUCCUGUCCAACGUUAAUCGGGGCAGGGUGAGUCGACCCCUAAGGCGAGGCCGAAAGGCGUAGUCGAUGGGAAACAGGUUAAUAUUCCUGUACUUGGUGUUACUGCGAAGGGGGGACGGAGAAGGCUAUGUUAGCCGGGCGACGGUUGUCCCGGUUUAAGCAUGUAGGCGGAGGUUCCAGGUAAAUCCGGUACCUUUUAACGCUGAGGUGUGAUGACGAGGCACUACGGUGCUGAAGUAACAAAUGCCCUGCUUCCAGGAAAAGCCUCUAAGCAUCAGGUAACAUUGAAUCGUACCCCAAACCGACACAGGUGGUCAGGUAGAGAAUACCAAGGCGCUUGAGAGAACUCGGGUGAAGGAACUAGGCAAAAUGGUGCCGUAACUUCGGGAGAAGGCACGCUGAUAUGUAGGUGAAGUCCCUGCGGAUGGAGCUGAAAUCAGUCGAAGAUACCAGCUGGCUGCAACUGUUUAUUAAAAACACAGCACUGUGCAAACACGAAAGUGGACGUAUACGGUGUGACGCCUGCCCGGUGCCGGAAGGUUAAUUGAUGGGGUUAUCCGUAAGGAGAAGCUCUUGAUCGAAGCCCCGGUAAACGGCGGCCGUAACAAUAACGGUCCUAAGGUAGCGAAA